UACGUAGGGGGCAAGCGUUGUCCGGAAUCAUUGGGCGUAAAGAGCGUGUAGGCGGCCCGAUAAGUCCGCUGUGAAAGUCCAGGGCUCAACCCUGGGAUGCCGGUGGAUACUGUCGGGCUCGAGUCCGGAAGAGGCGAGUGGAAUUCCUGGUGUAGCGGUGAAAUGCGCAGAUAUCAGGAGGAACACCGAUGGCGAAGGCAGCUCGCUGGGACGGUACUGACGCUGAGACGCGAAAGCGUGGGGAGCAAACAGG
rnacentral:rRNA from 1 species